GUUGUCCUGAAGCCGUUGACGGCCGCGGACGAGCAUGGCUGCUCUACAUCCGGGGUUUCGCCGUCACUUCAUUUUGCUCAAAGGGUCCUGUGCAGCAACGGGGACGCCAUUGAGUGUCGUUGGCGUGUCGACCACUUCCCAGGUUCUAGCAGAUUGUUGGUGGAGACCGCUACAGCAGGCUGGUGCAGACUGGUGGUGUUGGUGGGGACCGCUACAGCCAUCGGAAGGGAUUUGGCAGGAGGUGGAGCCUUCUUUGCUUGACUUUUACUGCCAAGGAUGGAAGGUUUGAUUUCACAGUCAUGGCCUCUUCCACUAGUUCACUGACUGAGCACUCCAUUAGGGCUUCUGAUGUCCUGGCCCGGAACAGCUGCUCAACGUGCUGCAGUAAAGAGAAUACAUCCGCAGAUGGCUGGUGAAGUGCACCCUCUCUGUACUCCUUCAUCUGCAGCAGUGUGGCGUUGUCCGGUACAGCGUCGUCACUGUUCCUUAAGGCAGGCUUACAGGCCGAACACAAAGAGCCGCCUAGUACACCCUUGAUGACGUAUCCGGCCAGAUGGUAUAGCACACAGGACUCCGCUUUUGUGAGUGCAUUUGGUGGAUGGGUGGCUGGUGGUGGUGGUGUGUCUACCAAGUGCUAGAAUCAUAGCUGUCAUCUGUUGUAAUUAUUCACUUGGUCAUAAUGAUACCACAGAUUCAUUGAAAAUCACUUCUUUCAAUCAGCAGUGACUGGCUGUGAAAUAUUUAACCGUCCAGAUCCAGUUCAACAUUUGACUAAUAUCACUGUUUUUGUCUUUUGUAUUCCCAUUGAGUUGUGUUACAGGUGGAAAUGAUUCUGCUCCUACUGCAUGAGACUGCUGCUGUUGAUGGGGAAGUGCUUUUGCCAGAAAUGGCUUAGUUGCAGGUGGUGGCUUUCUUGAGUUGCACUGAUAAGGUAACCUAACUAACCUUUUGAGGACCCUUACAGUAAGUAAUAUUAUAUCUGUGUCUAACAUUUUGUAUUUCCGGUGAUUGAGGUCUUUAGCUGCAAAAUGUAUAGGACUUUGGUCAGACUAGUAGGGCCGGAUAUAUGUGCACAGCAACAUAGUUGUCUUUUUUUUGUUUCUAUACGCCAUCCCAAUGGAAUUCAAAUGAAACUACGGUAACAAGAGAAUAAAAGUGCCUUUCAAAACAUUCAAGGAUCAGAGAGAAGUAAUAAUAAAACGAAGACACAUUAACACAUUUUUAACAAAAAUAAAACGGUAGUUAAAAAGUCCUAAGGAAUAGGCUAACUGAAACAAAUGAGUUUUUAGUCUGCAUUUGAACUUGGGUAAUAAGUCAGGGGGCAGUGCAUUCCAGAGCUGAGGAGCAGAGCAACUGAAAAGCUCUAUUCCCCAUGGUACUGAGAUGGGCAGAGGGACAGAGAGGAGGAUGGUCGAGGACAAACCGAGGUAGCGAGAGGGAAUGGCAAGGCAAGAUUGUUGCAAGAUUGUGAAUGGCCUGGAAGGUGUGCAGGACAGGAGUAUUUUAAGAAGCACAGGGUAUUGAGCACUCAGAGACAUAGCCAAGGUAAGAAUGGA